rnacentral:rRNA from 1 species
GAUGAACGCUGGCGGCGUGCCUAAUACAUGCAAGUCGAGCGAACGGACGAGAAGCUUGCUUCUCUGAUGUUAGCGGCGGACGGGUGAGUAACACGUGGAUAACCUACCUAUAAGACUGGGAUAACUUCGGGAAACCGGAGCUAAUACCGGAUGAUAUUUUGAACCGCAUGGUUCAAAAGUGAAAGACGGUCUUGCUGUCACUUAUAGAUGGAUCCGCGCUGCAUUAGCUAGUUGGUAAGGUAACGGCUUACCAAGGCAACGAUGCAUAGCCGACCUGAGAGGGUGAUCGGCCACACUGGAACUGAGACACGGUCCAGACUCCUACGGGAGGCAGCAGUAGGGAAUCGUCCGCAAUGGGCGAAAGCCUGACGGAGCAACGCCGCGUGAGUGAUGAAGGUCUUCGGAUCGUAAAACUCUGUUAUUAGGGAAGAACAGAUGUGUAAGUAACUGUGCACAUCUUGACGGUACCUAAUCAGAAAGCCACGGCUAACUACGUG